UCCGGUUUGUCACCGGCAGUCUCCUAUGAGUCCCCGACAUUACUCGCUGACAACAUAGGACGAGGGUUGCGCUCGUUGCGGGACUUAACCCAACAUCUCACGACACGAGCUGACGACAACCAUGCACCACCUGUACAGGGCCCUUGCGGACCCGACAUCUCUGCCGGAUUUCCCUGUAUGUCAAGCCUUGGUAAGGUUCUUCGCGUUGCUUCGAAUUGAACCACAUGCUCCACCGCUUGUGCGGGCCCCCGUCAAUUCCUUUGAGUUUUAACCUUGCGGCCGUACUCCCCAGGCGGCACAUUUAAUGCGUUUGCGUCGACACGAAGGGGGUCGAUACCCCUCACGUCUAAUGUGCAUCGUUUACGGCUAGGACUAC
rnacentral:misc_RNA from 1 species